rnacentral:rRNA from 1 species
GACAGAGGGUGCAAACGUUGUUCGGAAUUACUGGGCGUAAAGCGCGUGUAGGCGGCCCUGCAAGUCGGGUGUGAAAUCCCACGGCUCAACCGUGGAAGUGCACUCGAAAACUGCAGGGCUAGAGUCCUGGAGAGGAAGGUGGAAUGCUUGGUGUAGAGGUGAAAUUCGUAGAUAUCAAGCGGAACACCGGUGGCGAAGGCG